rnacentral:rRNA from 1 species
UACGGAGGGUGCGAGCGUUGUCCGGAAUCAUUGGGCGUAAAGGGCGCGUAGGUGGCCCAGUCAGCGUGCGGUGAAAGCUCGGGGCUCAACCCCGAGUCGGCCGUGCGAACUACUGGGCUGGAGCACUGUAGAGGCAGGCGGAAUUCCUGGUGUAGCGGUGAAAUGCGUAGAUAUCGGGAGGAACACCGGUGGCGAAGGCGGCGACCUGGGUCGAUACUGACGCUGAGGUGCGAAAGCGUGGGGAGCAAACAGG